rnacentral:rRNA from 1 species
UACGUAGGGCGCAAGCGUUAUCCGGAAUUAUUGGGCGUAAAGAGCUCGUAGGCGGUUUGUCGCGUCUGCCGUGAAAGUCCGGGGCUCAACUCCGGAUCUGCGGUGGGUACGGGCAGACUAGAGUGAUGUAGGGGAGACUGGAAUUCCUGGUGUAGCGGUGAAAUGCGCAGAUAUCAGGAGGAACACCGGUGGCGAAGGCGGGUCUCUGGGCCGAUACUGACGCUGAGGAGCGAAAGCGUGGGUAGCGAACAGG